rnacentral:rRNA from 1 species
AUGAACGCUGGCGGCGUGCCUAAUACAUGCAAGUCGAGCGUACAGACGAGGAGCUUGCUCCUCUGACGUUAGCGGCGGACGGGUGAGUAACACGUGGAUAACCUACCUAUAAGACUGGGAUAACUUCGGGAAACCGGAGCUAAUACCGGAUAAUAUAUUGAACCGCAUGGUUUAAUAGUGAAAGACGGUUUUGCUGUCACUUAUAGAUGGAUCCGCGCCGCAUUAGCUAGCUGGUAAGGUAACGGCUUACCAAGGCAACGAUGCGUAGCCGACCUGAGAGGGUGAACGGCCACACUGGAACUGAGACACGGUCCAGACUCCUACGGGAGGCAGCAGUAGGGAAUCUUCCGCAAUGGGCGAAAGACUGACGGAGCAACGCCGCGUGAGUGAUGAAGGUCUUCGGAUCGUAAAACUCUGUUAUUAGGGAAGAACAAAUGUGUAAGUAACUAUGCACGUCUUGACGGUACCUAAUCAGAAAGACACGGCUAACUAAGUG